UAGUAUUGAAAUCUUGGAUAAAGACAUAACUUACAAUUAUCUAAAAUUUUGUAGAGGGGAAAAAAGCGAGAUACACAAGUUAAAUGCUAGAACAGUCUUACAAAUGGACAAUGCUAUACGUACCGAAAUUUUUUAUCGAAUCUUUUACCUACUGCUCACAACAGGGGUGGGAACCACAUGUCGGCAUUUUUAAAUUCAUGCACGGCUGCCAUACAUUGUGAGAGGGUGUAAAACAUACGAUAAGGUAUUGGGUGUACAAAUAUCUUUUUCCCUUACAAAUAGACGAUAUAUUGUCAGACGACACAAUUGAAGAGGUGCACAAAUUACCUCUAAUUGUGUUUAUCAUUGUCCAUUCGAGCUAUAUUUCUUCCCAACAUCUCUAGAUGAUCUGGGAACCACAUGUCGGCAUUUUUAAAUUCAUGCACGGCUGCCAUACAUUGUGAGAGGGUGUAAAACAUACGAUAAGGUAUUGGGUGUACAAAUAUCUUUUUCCCUUACAAAUAGACGAUAUAUUGUCAGACGACACAAUUGAAGAGGUGCACAAAUU
rnacentral:lncRNA from 1 species